UUAUGACUUAAAUCUUAAACUUGAAUAAAAGUAGUUAUGUUCUUCAUAACUCAAAGAUUUUGGCGGUUAAAUUUAAUUUUUCAGAGGAACCUGUAUUAUAAUUGAUAAACCACGAUAGUUUAUACCUUGAUUUUAUUUGUAUAUCUCUAUGAUUAUUGGAGUGUUUAUUUAGAAUAUUCUCUUUUUGUUUAUGGCUUUAAGUUUAGGUCAAGGUGCAGUUUUAUCUAGGUAAUUAUGGGUUACUUUAAUUAUUAUUUUUUUUUAAUAAUAUUAUUUAAUUUAGGAUUUGAAAGUAAUUUAAAUUAAUUAAUUUAUUUGAAUAUUUUUAAUUAAUGU
rnacentral:rRNA from 1 species